GAGGGUAUAGCUCAAGUGAUAGAGUGCAUGGUUAGCAUGCAUGAAGUCCUGGGUUCAAUCCCCAGUAUCUCCU
rnacentral:tRNA from 1 species